rnacentral:rRNA from 1 species
UACGUAGGUCCCGAGCGUUGUCCGGAUUUAUUGGGCGUAAAGCGAGCGUAGGUGGUUUAUUAAGUCUGGUGUAAAAGGCAGUGGCUCAACCAUUGUAUGCAUUGGAAACUGGUAGACUUGAGUGCAGGAGAGGAGAGUGGAAUUCCAUGUGUAGCGGUGAAAUGCGUAGAUAUAUGGAGGAACACCGGUGGCGAAAGCGGCUCUCUGGCCUGUAACUGACACUGAGGCUCGGAGGCGUGGGGAGCAAACAGG